UACGGGGGGGGCAAGCGUUGUUCGGAAUUACUGGGCGUAAAGGGUUCGUAGGUGGCCAACUAAGUCAGACGUGAAAUCCCUCAGCUCAACUGGGGAACUGCGUCUGAUACUGGUCGGCUUGAGUGCAGGAGAGGAACGCGGAAUUCCAGGUGUAGCGGUGAAAUGCGUAGAUAUCUGGAGGAACACCGGUGGCGAAGGCGGCUCACUGGCCCGAUACUGACGCUGAGGCGCGAAAGCGUGGGGAUCAAACAGG
rnacentral:rRNA from 1 species